CUGCUGUUAUACAGAAAGAAAAGAUAUAGGAGUGGAAAGCCUAUAUUAUGACGGUACUGUAUCAGAAAGUGACGGCAAACUAUGUGCCAGCAGCCGCGGUAAUACAUAGGUCACAAGCGUUAUCCGAAAUUAUUGGGCGUAAAGCGUCCGUAGGUUGUUUGUUAAGUCUGGAGUUAAAGACCGGUGCUCAACGCCGGCACGCUUUAGAUACUGGCAAACUAGAGUUAUAAAGAGGUAAGUGGAAUUUCAUGUGAAGCGGUGGAAUGCGUAGAUAUAUGAAAGAACACCAAUGGCGAAGGCAACUUACUGGUUAUAUACUGACACUGAGGGACGAAAGCGUGGGGAGCAAACAGGAUUAGAUACCCUGGUAGUCCACGCCGUAAACGAUGAUCAUUAGUUGGUGGGGGAACCCUCGCUAACGCAGCUAACGCAUUAAAUGAUCCGCCUGAGUAGUAUGCUCGCAAGAGUGAAACUUAAAGGAAUUGACGGGGACCCGCACAAGCGGUGGAGCAUGUGGUUUAAUUUGACGAUACGCGUAGAACCUUACCCACUCUUGACAUCCCUUGCAAAGCUAUAGAGAUAUAGUGGAGGUUAACAAGGUGACAGAUGGUGCAUGGUUGUCGUCAGCUCGUGUCGUGAGAUGUUCGGUUAAGUCCUGCAACGAGCGCAACCCCUAUCCUUAUUUACUAACAUUAAGUUGAGAACUAUACGGAUACUGCUCAGGUAACUGGGAGGAAGGUGGGGAUGACGUCAAAUCAUCAUGCCUCUUACGAGUGGGGCAACACACGUGCUACAAUGGCCGGUACAAAGAGACGCAAUAUGGUGACAUGGAGCAAAUCUGAAAAACCGGUCUCAGUUCGGAUUGAAGGCUGCAAUUCGCCUUCAUGAAGUCGGAAUCGCUAGUAAUCGUAGAUCAGCUACGCUACGGUGAAUACGUUCUCGGGUCUUGUACACACCGCCCGUCACACCAUGGGAGCCGGUAAUGCCCAAAGUC
rnacentral:rRNA from 1 species